rnacentral:lncRNA from 1 species
AUAAAUUAUAGAUAUCGGAUUUUGGUAUCUUCAUGUAAGGGUGUAUACGAGUACUAGAUUUUAGACGGAUCAACUGGUCUAUAAUCGGUCCGACAAUACAUGGUUGGAUCAUGAUGGUGUCAAUGUUUCUAUGCUUUAAUGUCUUGUUGUUUGUGAUUUUCGUCAAGGUACAUCAACUAACAUUGCUUCAAAUAGAAAAUAGAGG